rnacentral:snRNA from 1 species
AUUCUUACGUGGCAGGGGAAAUAGCAUGAUCACAAGUGUGGUUUGUCCAGAGCAUGGCUCGUUUGCACUGCCGAGGUGCUGACCCUGCGAUUUCCCCCAAUGUGGGCAACACAAUAGUAUCAUCUGUGACGGUGGGGGACUCCAUGUGCCCUCA